rnacentral:rRNA from 1 species
AUGCAAGUCGACGCUGAAGCACCAGCUUGCUGGUGUGGAUGAGUGGCGAACGGGUGAGUAAUACGUGAGUAACCUGCCCUUGACUCUGGGAUAAGCCCGGGAAACUGGGUCUAAUACUGGAUGCUACAUGUCACCGCAUGGUGGUGUGUGGAAAGGGUUUACUGGUCUUGGAUGGGCUCACGGCCUAUCAGCUUGUUGGUGAGGUAAUGGCUCACCAAGGCGACGACGGGUAGCCGGCCUGAGAGGGUGACCGGCCACACUGGGACUGAGACACGGCCCAGACUCCUACGGGAGGCAGCAGUGGGGAAUAUUGCACAAUGGGCGAAAGCCUGAUGCAGCGACGCCGCGUGAGGGAUGACGGCCUUCGGGUUGUAAACCUCUUUCAGCAGGGAAGAAGCCACAAGUGACGGUACCUGCAGAAGAAGCGCCGGCUAACUACGUGCCAGCAGCCGCGGUAAUACGUAGGGCGCAAGCGUUGUCCGGAAUUAUUGGGCGUAAAGAGCUCGUAGGCGGUUUGUCGCGUCUGCUGUGAAAGCCCGGGGCUUAACCCCGGGUGUGCAGUGGGUACGGGCAGACUAGAGUGCAGUAGGGGAGACUGGAAUUCCUGGUGUAGCGGUGGAAUGCGCAGAUAUCAGGAGGAACACCGAUGGCGAAGGCAGGUCUCUGGGCUGUUACUGACGCUGAGGAGCGAAAGCAUGGGGAGCGAACAGGAUUAGAUACCCUGGUAGUCCAUGCCGUAAACGUUGGGCACUAGGUGUGGGGGACAUUCCACGUUUUCCGCGCCGUAGCUAACGCAUUAAGUGCCCCGCCUGGGGAGUACGGCCGCAAGGCUAAAACUCAAAGGAAUUGACGG